rnacentral:rRNA from 1 species
UACGUAGGUCCCGAGCGUUGUCCGGAUUUAUUGGGCGUAAAGCGAGCGCAGGCGGUUUCAUAAGUCUGAAGUUAAAGGCAGUGGCUUAACCAUUGUACGCUUUGGAAACUGUGAGACUUGAGUGCAGAAGGGGAGAGUGGAAUUCCAUGUGUAGCGGUGAAAUGCGUAGAUAUAUGGAGGAACACCGGUGGCGAAAGCGGCUCUCUGGCUUGUAACUGACGCUGAGGCUCGAAAGCGUGGGGAGCAAACAGG